rnacentral:rRNA from 1 species
UACGUAGGGCGCAAGCGUUGUCCGGAAUUAUUGGGCGUAAAGAGCUCGUAGGCGGUUUGUCGCGUCUGCUGUGAAAACCUAAGGCUCAACCUUGGGCUUGCAGUGGGUACGGGCAGACUAGAGUGCGGUAGGGGUGACUGGAAUUCCUGGUGUAGCGGUGGAAUGCGCAGAUAUCAGGAGGAACACCGAUGGCGAAGGCAGGUCACUGGGCCGCAACUGACGCUGGAGGAGCGAAGCGUGGG